GACGAACGCUGGCGGCGUGCUUAACACAUGCAAGUCGAACGGAAAGGCCCUGCUUUUGUGGGGUGCUCGAGUGGCGAACGGGUGAGUAACACGUGAGUAACCUGCCCUUGACUUUGGGAUAACUUCAGGAAACUGGGGCUAAUACCGGAUAGGAGCUCCUGCUGCAUGGUGGGGGUUGGAAAGUUUCGGCGGUUGGGGAUGGACUCGCGGCUUAUCAGCUUGUUGGUGGGGUAGUGGCUUACCAAGGCUUUGACGGGUAGCCGGCCUGAGAGGGUGACCGGCCACAUUGGGACUGAGAUACGGCCCAGACUCCUACGGGAGGCAGCAGUGGGGAAUAUUGCACAAUGGGCGGAAGCCUGAUGCAGCAACGCCGCGUGCGGGAUGACGGCCUUCGGGUUGUAAACCGCUUUCGCCUGUGACGAAGCGUGAGUGACGGUAAUGGGUAAAGAAGCACCGGCUAACUACGUGCCAGCAGCCGCGGUGAUACGUAGGGUGCGAGCGUUGUCCGGAUUUAUUGGGCGUAAAGGGCUCGUAGGUGGUUGAUCGCGUCGGAAGUGUAAUCUUGGGGCUUAACCCUGAGCGUGCUUUCGAUACGGGUUGACUUGAGGAAGGUAGGGGAGAAUGGAAUUCCUGGUGGAGCGGUGGAAUGCGCAGAUAUCAGGAGGAACACCAGUGGCGAAGGCGGUUCUCUGGGCCUUUCCUGACGCUGAGGAGCGAAAGCGUGGGGAGCGAACAGGCUUAGAUACCCUGGUAGUCCACGCUGUAAACGGUGGGUACUAGGUGUGGGGUCCAUUCCACGGGUUCCGUGCCGUAGCUAACGCUUUAAGUACCCCGCCUGGGGAGUACGGCCGCAAGGCUAAAACUCAAAGGAAUUGACGGGGCCCCGCACAAGCGGCGGAGCAUGCGGAUUAAUUCGAUGCAACGCGUAGAACCUUACCUGGGUUUGACAUGGAUCGGGAGUGCUCAGAGAUGGGUGUGCCUCUUUUGGGGUCGGUUCACAGGUGGUGCAUGCCUGUCGUCAGCUCGUGUCGUGAGAUGUUGGGUUAAGUCCCGCAACGAGCGCAACCCUUGUUCACUGUUGCCAGCACGUUAUGGUGGGGACUCAGUGGAGACCGCCGGGGUCAACUCGGAGGAAGGUGGGGAUGACGUCAAGUCCUCAUGCCCCUUAUGUCCAGGGCUUCACGCAUGCUACAAUGGCUGGUACAGAGAGUGGCGAGCCUGUGAGGGUGAGCGAAUCUCGGAAAGCCGGUCUCAGUUCGGAUUGGGGUCUGCAACUCGACCCCAUGAAGUCGGAGUCGCUAGUAAUCGCAGAUCAGCAACGCUGCGGUGAAUACGUUCCCGGG
rnacentral:rRNA from 1 species